UUCCUUGUAGUGUUCCGUUUGUGGUUGAAAUUGGACCGGUCUGUUUGUUCACGAUUUCGCAACGGAAUAUGGUAGUACUAUCUAAGACCCUUACGAUCAUAUUGUUGCCAACUUUGUUUCGCUGCCAUACUGUACUAUAUUAUUGGAAUGAAUGGAGACUUAACUCAAAGCGUGUGUAGGCCCGCUCUGCGUUCCCACAGGGAUGCCCGAUAAAUAAAGAUUUUUCACAUUGUCCAUUCGUGAACUGCAAUCGUACGAUUGCUAUAAACUUGUCUAAAUAGAAACGUUUCUCGGGUCAACUUUACGCUAGAUAACUGCAUUCUUUGCCAAGAGGUGGCAACCAAACAAAAAGUUACCCUAGUGUUGAAAUUAUCGACAAGCUUCUUAAGAAUGUCCAUGAUCGAGCAUCUUGGGAAGACCAAAAGGUACUAGAGACAUGCCAAAUUCUCUGACAAAUCUGACAAAACUGCCAUUGACCUGCUAUCCGGUUGGUAUUAUCGCCUCUGUUCCCUAAGUAAACGGUGCAAACGGCGAUACCAAUAAUCGAUUGAGUCAGGAGAACCCUGUCAGCUAAAUCGUGGUCCAGGAAAGCCUGCUAAUAAAGAUCCCCGCACACCUCUCCUGAACCUGAUGAAGGGAUACUUCAUACUAACAAGAUGUCAAGCAUUGCCGCCUUCAGUGUUCAGAUCGUAAAUUUGGUUCCAGUACUGUACUUUAUGAAAGAGUGUGUUGACGUUAGUACGGAUGCCACGGAUACUGCUCGAAGAUUGGCUAGACUUACUAUCAAAGGAACUUAAUGGAAAAUUAUAUACCAGGUUCGUGCUGGACUUCUCCGUGUCAACAAUCUCCAACUCCGGUGUCCUGUUUUUCGUCCCGUAGUGCUAACGAAAAGAAAAUGCUUCUCAAGUUCAACGACGAAAAGGUAACUGUCUAUCACUAAUCACUAUAUGCGAGGUAAACCUAUGGAGUUGGCAUGGAGGGCAGCAUCAACGAUGGGGUUACACAUAGGGACCCGAUCGACGAUAUAUAAAGUGAAGAGUUACAAGUUCUACAAGACUUAUCUGUUCACCGGUUUAUCAACUCAUGAUUUGGAAAAACUUAAUUCAUGAACUCGAGACUCUAAGUUACUGAGUUAUAUUAUUAUUUCGUGUAUUGCCGGGAAGGCUGUUAAUUUAGGAUAGAGUUUUUGUGGCACUUAUCUCAGUUUGUUCUUUUGUAGUUGUUCUCACACAGCUGAGUAAAAGUUUUAAAACUUGAGAGCAGUGUUUAUAAUUCAAUUUAUUAUUAAUUAGAAUUAAUUGGAGCAUGGAACAACUACACCCUUUGAAGCCUGGAAAAUACGGUAGAUCUAGUUAAGACUCAACAGUCAAUACAUGCUAUGUGGGGGAGAAGAUGGACGAACUUUUUCAAAAAGUAAAAAAGAGAUGACUGCCGG